rnacentral:rRNA from 1 species
AGUGGAUGGGGAGCAACCUAGUUGUGCGUGUGUAAAGGUAGUGCCAAGAAAAGCGAUGAUCAUGUUGAAAAUCAAUUCCCGGUACCCGAAACCGACACAGGUGGGCAAGUAGAGAAUACUAAGGGGCGCGAGGUAACUCUCUCCAAGGAACUCGGCAAAAUGACCCCGUAACUUAGGGAGAAGGGGUGCCACCGAGAGGUGGUCGCAGUGAAGAGGCCCAGGCGACUGUUUAGCAAAAACAUAGGUCUCUGCAAACUCGAAAGAGGAGGUAUAGGGGCUGACGCCUGCCCAGUGCCGGAAGGUUAAAGAAGUUGGUCAGUUUUAGGAUGAAGCUAGCGACUGAAGCCCCGGUGAACGGCGGCCGUAACUAUAACGGUCCUAAGGUAGCGAAAUUCCUUGUCGGGUAAGUUCCGACCCGCACGAAAGGCGUAACGAUCUGGUCGCUGUCUAGGAGAGAGGCUCGGCGAAAUAGGAUUGUCUGUGAAGAUACGGACUACCUGCAUUUGGACAGAAAGACCCUAUGAAGCUUUACUAUAGCUUGGAAUUGUGUUCGGGCUUCCUGUGCGCAGGAUAGGUGGGAGGCGUAGAAGGUAUUCUUGUGGGGAUACUGGAGCCAACGGUGAGAUACCACUCUCAGGAGGCUAGAAUUCUAACUUAAUUAAGGACAGUUUCAGGUGGGUAGUUUGACUGGGGCGGUCGCCUCCAAAAAGGUAACGGAGGCGUACAAAGGUUCCCUCAGACUGGUUGGAAAUCAGUCGAAGAGUGCAAAGGCAGAAGGGAGCUUGACUGCGAGAAGUACAGUUCGAGCAGGGUGGAAACACGGUCUUAGUGAUCCGACGGUGCUGUGUGGAAGGGCCGUCGCUCAACGGAUAAAAGUUACUCUAGGAUAACAGGCUGAUCUCCCCCAAGAGUUCACAUCGACGGGGAGGUUUGGCACCUCGAUGUCGGCUCAUCGCAACCUGGGGCGGAAGUACGUCCCAAGGGUUGGGCUGUUCGCCCAUUAAAGCGGUACGUGAGCUGGGUUCAGAACGUCGUGAGACAGUUCGGUCCAUAUCCGAUGUAGGCGUGAGAAUAUUGAGAGGAGCCUUCCUUAGUACGAGAGGACCGGGAAGGACGCACCGCUGGUGUACCUGUUAUGAUGCCAAUUGUAAACGCAGGGUAGCCAAGUGCGGAGAGGAUAACCGCUGAAAGCAUCUAAGUGGGAAGCCCACCUCAAGAUGAGUAUUCUGGUGUAAGGUCACGGGAAGACGACCCGUAAAUAGGCACGAGGUGGAAGUGCAGAGAUGUAUGAAGCCGAAGUGUACUAAUAGACCGUCGGCUUGACC